UAAGUAGACCGCCUGGGGAGUACGGUCGCAAGAUUAAAACUCAAAUGAAUUGACGGGGGCCCGCACAAGCGGUGGAGCAUGUGGUUUAAUUCGAUGCAACGCGAAGAACCUUACCUACUCUUGACAUCCAGAGAAGCCAGCGGAGACGCAGGUGUGCCUUCGGGAGCUCUGAGACAGGUGCUGCAUGGCUGUCGUCAGCUCGUGUCGUGAGAUGUUGGGGUU
rnacentral:rRNA from 1 species